rnacentral:rRNA from 1 species
GUUAGGAAUAUUGGACAAUGGGCGCAAGCCUGAUCCAGCCAUGCCGCGUGAGUGAUGAAGGCCUUCGGGUUGUAAAGCUCUUUAGUCCACGAAUAUAAUGACUGUAGUGGAAGAAUAAGCCCCGGCUAACUUCGUGCCAGCAGCCGCGGUAAUACGAAGGGGGCGAGCGUUAUUCGGAAUCACUGGGCGUAAAGCGUGCGUAGGCUGUUUUGUAAGUCAGAAGUGAAAGCCCAGGGCUUAACCCUGGAAUUGCUUUGGAAACUACAAGACUCGAAUUCGGGAGAGGAUAGCGGAAUUGUCAGUGUAGCAGUGAAAUGCGUAGAUAUUGACAGGAACACCAGUGGCGCAAGCGGCUAUCUGGACCGAUAUUGACGCUGAGGCACGAAAGCGUGGGGAGCAAACAGGAUUAGAUACCCGGGUAGUCC